GUGACCUGCGGAAGGAUCAUUAUUGAACUGUCAACAUGAGCUGUUGCUGGUCUUCAAGCUGGGGGCAUGUGCACGCUCUGUUUACACAUCCACUCACACCUGUGCACCCUCUGUAGUUCUAUGGUUCAGGGGAGAGACUCCGUCCUCCUUUCAUAGUUCUAUGUUACCACAAACACACUGUAAUAAAGUCUUAUGGAAUGUAUGCCGCGUUUAACGCAAUGCAAUACAACUUUCAGCAACGGAUCUCUUGGCUCUCGCAUCGAUGAAGAACGCAGCGAAAUGCGAUAAGUAAUGUGAAUUGCAGAAUUCAGUGAAUCAUCGAAUCUUUGAACGCACCUUGCGCCCCUUGGCCAUUCCGAGGGGCAUGCCUGUUUGAGUAUCAUGAACACCUCAACUCUCAUGGCUUGCCAUGACGAGCUUGGACUUUGGGGGUUUUGUUGGCCUCUGUGGUCAGCUCCUCUUAAAUGAAUCAGCUUGCUAGUGUUUGGCGGCAUUGUGGGUGUGAUAACUAUCUACGCUCAUGGUUGUUUGCCAGGUAACCUUCAGCAGUGGAGGUUCGCUGGGGCUUACAAAUGUCUCUCCUCAGCAUGAGACAGCAUUUUGAACGUUCGAUCUCAGAUCAGGUAGGACUACCCGCUGAACUUAAGCAUAUCAUA
rnacentral:rRNA from 1 species